rnacentral:rRNA from 1 species
GAUGCAACGCGAAGAACCUUACCUACUCUUGACAUCCAGAGAACUUAGCAGAGAUGCAUUGGUGCCUUCGGGAACUCUGAGACAGGUGCUGCAUGGCUGUCGUCAGCUCGUGUUGUGAAAUGUUGGGUUAAGUCCCGCAACGAGCGCAACCCUUAUCCUUUGUUGCCAGCGGUUAGGCCGGGAACUCAAAGGAGACUGCCAGUGAUAAACUGGAGGAAGGUGGGGAUGACGUCAAGUCAUCAUGGCCCUUACGAGUAGGGCUACACACGUGCUACAAUGGCGCAUACAAAGAGAAGCGACCUCGCGAGAGCAAGCGGACCUCAUAAAGUGCGUCGUAGUCCGGAUUGGAGUCUGCAACUCGACUCCAUGAAGUCGGAAUCGCUAGUAAUCGUGGAUCAGAAUGCCACGGUGAAUACGUUCCCGGGCCUUGUACACACCGCCCGUCACACCAUGGGAGUGGGUUGCAAAAGAAGUAGGUAGCUUAACCUUCGGGAGGGCGCUUACCACUUUGUGAUUCAUGACUGGGGUGAAGUCGAAAAGGGG